rnacentral:snoRNA from 1 species
CAAGUGAUGAUAUACAAAUCAUAGAGUCAAGCACAGAGGCCAUAUAAUGGCUGUUGAAGAUCAAGAUUUUAAAACCUAUCUGAUGAA